AGAUGAAAAUAUAAUUUCAAGAGUUAAUAAGGGGCCUGGGGAUAGGGCCUGGUGGCAAGAGCGCUUGCCUCGUAUGCAUGAAGCCCUGGGUUCAAGUCCCCAGCACCACAUACAUAGAAAGCGGCCAGAGGUGGCGCUGU